ACUCAAAGGAAUUGACGGGGGCCCGCACAAGCGGUGGAGCAUGUGGUUUAAUUCGACGCUACGCGCAGAACCUUACCUGGGCUAAAUCCAUUCGGAUUCGAUUGAAAGGUUGAAGUGCCCUUCGGGGAACGAAUGAGAAGGUGCUGCAUGGCUGUCGUCAGCUCGUGUCGUGAGAUGUUGGGUUAAGUCCCGCAACGAGCGCAACCCUUAUCGUCUGUUGCCAGCAUUAGGUUGGGAACUCAGGCGAGACUGCCGGCCAAAACCGGAGGAAGGUGGGGAUGACGUCAAGUCCUCAUGGCCCUUAUGUCCAGGGCUACACACGUGCUACAAUGGCGAGUACAAAGAGUUGCGAGACCGCGAGGUGGAGCUAAUCUCAAAAAACUCGUCUCAGUUCGGAUUGGAGUCUGCAACUCGACUCCAUGAAGCUGGAAUCGCUAGUAAUCGGAGAUCAGCACGCUCCGGUGAAUACGUUCCCGGGCCUUGUACACACCGCCCGU
rnacentral:rRNA from 1 species